rnacentral:lncRNA from 1 species
GUCACCAUCACCAGGUGGGGGUUUUGUCUGCUUUGUUCACUGUUGCACACCCAGCCCCCAGCACAGGCCCUGCCUGGAGUAGGCGCCCAGGAAACACUCACGAAUGAGGAAGGAAUGAACAUUUUUUGCAGAUGAGGGGACUCAGGGCCCUGGACUCGCAGUCCAGUGCUCUUGCUGCUGACUCGCUUCAGCUCUGGAGCGGCAGCUGCCUUUGCCCAGCCUGUGCCCCCCGUGCGGCGGGGCUGGAGAUGGAGAAGAUGGCAGAGGUAAAGGCUUCCAGGAGUGUGGGCAGCACGUGUGACCCCAGGAAGCCAUGCUUCUCACUGGACCUAGGCGGACCCAUUAUUUGGCAGAAAAAGCCCUCUUCACCAUUUUCCUUCAGGCUGUGGAGGCCAGGACAGCUGACAGUGAGGGUGGCUGUGUCACUCAUGGCUUCACAGGGGCGCAGUCCGCGAGAUGAGGCGGCCAGACCAGUGUCUACAGCACAGGAAGCAGCGGCUGGCUGGUGCCCUUCACCCUAGUCGGAGCUCGGGUCAGAUCUUGGAAGGCCCUGGGGCCCCGCUCCCCACCUCCUGCUUCCCAGAGGCACAGGGGCAGGAUUCCAAGCCAAUGGAAGGGCUAGAGUCCUGGGACAAGUCCCUGCCCUCCUCUGGGCCUCAGUUUCCUCCUUGAUAAUGUGAGGCCGCUAUGCCCACCUUGUGAUUUUGUCCCCAGCAUAAAGCACAGCACCUGCCUAUGACCUGCCUCCUCUCCCUCUCCUCGCUUAGCAUCACUGGGCUCCUUACUGUUCCUUGAACUCACCAAGCCCCUUCAUAUCUCGGGCCUCUGUACGUGCAGUGCCAUCUGCCUGGAAUGUCCUGCCUUCCUGUCUCCCCAGGGCUGGUACCUUCUCAUCUUUCUGGGCUUAAACAUCACCCCCUCAGCCUAGAGAGCACCCCACCACCCCUCACUCUGCUUUCCUCUUCCUAAUGAAGGGAUGGAGGCAUCUCACUCUUUUUCUUCUUUGUGCCGUUCUUAGCUCCACAGGCAGAGACUUCAUCUGUCUGAUCCAUAGUGUGUUCCAGAGCUCAGCACAGUGUCCAGUAUACAGUAGGUGCUUAAGAAACAACGGCUUCCCCUGCUUCCUUCUUUGCUAGCUCCAAGUCAGCUGGGAGCUGUUUUCCACCUCUCUUGUCCCUCCUUCCCCCUUGAGGACAAAGCAGGUACUGGACAUGGGUUACUUGAAGGACUCAGGUAGUUUGAAAUCUGAGGACGUGAGGCUCACAGUGUCCCCAGGCAGUGGGUAGGCGGGGACUCCAGAGGCCUCCAGUGCAGACGCCCUGUCCUUGCUGCCCUGCCCUCCUUCUCCUCGGGUCUGUGGGCUUGCUCUAGGCAGGUCUCCAGAGCCAUCCCCACGCCCACACAUCUGUCAGCACCCUUGGGGGAAAGAAUCUGGAAAGGGGAGGGAGAAGAAGAAAAGAAAGCAGGGUGCAAGGGGGUGGGUUCAACACCUGUGUAAAUAAUUUGUCAUCUUAAGAGGCAUCGAGUACACUCACCUUUAGUGCCCGGUCCUUGGGCUUGUUUUCCUUGGCAAGGCCCCCACAGGAGUGGAAUUUCGGCCAAAGGGACCCAAUUGUCAUCUUCUAAGCAUGUUCCCAGGCCAGGGGCUGGGAAAGGCUCUGGCUGAUUCUUCACUUCCGUCCCCAGAAGUACCGGAAGGUUCCUGGGAUUUAGGACCAGCCUCCAGCUUUGGAAGCCGUCCCAGAAUUCUGGAAUGCUGGAAUUUAAACAGCCUCCAGCCCAUUUUGCAGAGGAGGAGCAUGAGGCCCAGAGGGGGAAGGGGUUGGCCUGUGGUCACAUGACAUGUGAGGUCAGCUAGUUUGCUGGUGUAAGGGGACAUUGUGGACCCCUCCAUUUCCUACUGGCGAACCUCCUCUUCCACAUUCCAGUCCUUGAGGUUUGGGGGGAUGCCCCAGGCCUCCUGUCUCAUAGGGUGCACUUGUUCUGCUGUAGUGACUGGUCCAGGGAUGGUCAUGUGACUAAGCUUGCCCAAUGAGAUUCUACCCUGGGACUUUGGUGCUGGGAUGUGUUUGAGAAGGAGAUGCAAUUUCUCAUCAGAUUGACAGUGAGCAAGGGAAAAGCUACCUGAGAGACCAGCUCAGAGCUGGAGACGGUCUGAACUCCUGGAUCCAGCCAUACCUGAGAUCACACAUUCUUGGCCUCCCUAGUUUCAUAAGCCACUAUAUUUCCUGUUUUUGGUGGGAAAGAGUUUGGCUGGUUUUCUGUCACUUGCACACAGAAGUUUCUGACUGAUACAUAGGGGAGGGAAAGGGGAGAGUUUGCAGGGAGAGGAACUAGGCUGACAGGGAACACAAAGCAACCAUUUCCAGGGAGGCGUUAUGAAGCAGGGAGAAGAGGAAGAAUUUAAGAGUUUGUCAGGUGGCCGAGGUGGGAGAAAGGACAUGGAACCACAGCGUGAAGGCUUGGAAGGGUGACUGGGCGGCAGGCUGUGUCCCAGACUUGUGCAGGGUGACAGAGGACACUGGGGAGAAGGGCACUGACUCCACCACUCCCCGACAGCUGCAGCUCAGUGAGGCUCCUCUGCAUCUGGAGCUGAGCCUGUCCUAACCCCCACCCUGGCCAAGGCCUCAGCGUGCCAUCCUGGACCCCUAGAUGUGCUCCUGAUUCGGUCCUGGGCACCAUGAGUACCACACAGAAUCACUUCAGGGUCCCCCAACACCGUGAGAUCAGACUGGGUCCUGCAGCAGGAGUCAUUCCUGCGGCAAAUCUACAGCCUUCGGAACACUGCUAAACCCCGCUGUGUAAAGAGCAGACCCAGGCUUGGUCCCCUUGGGUGUGCCCGGCUGAUUUCCAGCACCCCGCACGGAUCUGCAGGAGGAGUGCAGAGCUGGAAUCCACAGGCAAAGGACAGAGCCGCCUCCCCCAGCCCCCAAUCUCUGGGCCCCGCCUCCGGAACCCCCUCACACCCAUGGGUUGCACGCUUUCAGUCUUUCUCUCUGAUCUGUUUUCUGUUGCUAUAAAUGUGCUUUUCCAGAGUGACACCUGUGGGAAUCCCAGGGUGUCAAGCCUGGUUUCUCCUCCAUGUGAGGCUUUUGAGAGGGGUGCACACAGCUGUGUGUGUCACUAGAUGGUUCUUUUUUCAUUGCCACAUAGUACUCCAUUGUAUGGAUGGGCCACAGGGUGUGUAUCCAGUUCCUGGCUAAAGGAUAUUUGGGGUGUUUUCAGUUUUGUUUUGGUUUUUUUUGCAAUUAUGAAUGAAGGCAUCAGAAACAUUUGUAAACUGUUUCACUGCAGAACUGUUUCUCCUAGCUGCCUCUAUAAUGCUUUCAACCCCUUAGGCAGUGUGUAUAAAUUUCCUCCCUGACACUGGCGUUCCUAGGCUUUUGCUUUUUUUCUUUUUAAUUUCAUCCAUUCAAAUAGGUGUGCAAAGCUGGGUGUGGUGGUGCACACUUGUAAUCCCAGCACUGGGAAGGCUGAGGCUGAAGAAUUGGGAGUUCAAGUCCAGACUGGGCUACAUAGGGAGACCCUGGCUCAAGAAACAAAUCACAUAGGUAGAUAGUGGUAUCUCACUGUGGUUUUCAUUUAUACUUUCCUAAGGACUAAUGAUAUUGAUCAUCUUUUUAUGUGAUGAUGAUGAUGAUGAUGAUUAUUGUUAUUAUUUUAAUGUGGUGGCUGUUCAAUCUUCUUCCUGUUAAAGAAACUGGCUUCAGCUGGUGUGGUGGCACGUACUUGUGAUCCCAACACAUUUGGAAGCUGAGGCAGAAAGAUUCUAAGUUCAAGCCCAGCUUAGGCCAUUUAGUGAUUUAAGGAGACAAUGUCUCACAAUAAAAAUUUUUUUUUUUUUUUACAAUAAAAAAUUUUUUAAAAAGGCUGGGAGUGUAACUCACUGUGAAAGCCCUGGUUUCAAUCUUUAGAACCGCAAACCAAACAAACAAAAAAUCAAAAAUGGAUUAUUAUUAAUAGAUUUGGACAGUUCUUUAUAUAUUCUGGAUAUUAGUCAGCCCUUUGUAAAAAAUGUGAUUUGCGAAUAUUUUCUCCCAGUCUGUGGCUUAUCAUUUUAUUCUUGUAACAGGUAGGCUUUAAUAACAUGGUUUUGUUUUCAUUGUAAUUAUUUUUUCUGGUUCACAGUGAUUGGUGGCAUGUGUUCUUUGUUUUUUUAGUUCUAGUGAUAACACCAAGUGUUUCCUUUUAAAAUAAAUUGAUUUAAGUAGAAAGUAAGACAAUUUGAAGAAAAAUAUUGGGUAAGUAAUAGUAGAAGCAGGAAGCAGGCAGCACAAAAAUCAUGAAGGGAGUUACUAGAAUAGCCACGAUGCGGAGAGCUCCAAUUUGUUCUGUCAAAGAACGGACCAGCCAGUGUGCUAGGCACCAGGGACAUUGCAACAGGCAAGACAUGUUCUGCCAUUUUGGUUGCAAUUUCUCUCCAUUGAGCUCCUCUUCAUACUUCAGAAGCCAAUUCAAAUGACUUUUUCCCUGUCCAGAAUUCCCUGGUAUACUUGUCACACCCUCUUUUCUAUCUCUGUGCUAUCUUCCUGGGGAGGGGCUGUGUCUGGCAGCCUCUAGUAGGUGUGGCAGAGAGCCUGGUGCACAGGCUCUUGAUGAGUGGAAGUCAUUAGACAAUGCUGAAGGUGAGCGUACCAGUCUGAUUGGUUGAAAUUGGCAAGGCCCACCUCAAUGAAGGCCCAAGGCCCCUUCUGGUUGCCGGCUGGGCUGACCCCAUGCAACCCAAGAUCCAUCCCCCUUGGCCUCUGCCCCCACUGACAAAGACACGAAGAACAAAGCUCUCCCGUAGGCCCCUUUGCUGCUCCUACCCAGUCCUCAUGGCCGCCUUCCCCGAGUGGCUCUUUCUCCUCACAAACUCCAGGCGCCUCUUCGCUCCGGCUUCCCCACCUGUGCCUGGCUCUUCCACUUCUCUCCCUCACACCUGCUGCUCCGGUACCCCCAACCCCGUUCCCACCCCUGGCCUUUGCACUUGCUCUUCCCUCCUUCCAGAGCU